rnacentral:lncRNA from 1 species
AGAGCAUUGCUUGGUCAUCGUGUUCUGAGUGGUCCAUUGGCCUCCAUGUCCCUUUUGGGGUGGAUAUUUGCUCAGUGACUUUUGAGCAGCUGGAUCUCCUGCUUCGGCAGGUGAGUGAGGGGAUGGAUGGCUCCACGGACUGGCCCCCGCCCCAGGAGAAAGAGUGCGUGGCCGUGGCAACGCUGAAUCUUCCCCGACUUCAGUUGCAUGCUGCCAUUAGUCACCAGGUUGACCUGGAAUUCCUUGGUUUAGGUCUGGGCAGCGUCUUCCUGAACAGCCUGAAGCAGAAGGUGGUGACCCUGGCAAGCAGCGCAGACGUGCUGAGCACCGUGCAGUCGGCCUCCCAGGCCAUGCUGCAGAGCGGCUGGUCCAUGCUGUUGCCCACCGCUGAGAAGCAGGCCCGGGCACUCUGCUCUCCUGUCCUGCGGAGUUUCAGGCAAUGAAGUGAGCAUAAGUCCAGGUCAUCGAUUGGUGAUUGAUCUUCUGGUGGGCAGCCUGAUGGCUGAUGGAGGGUUGGAGUCAGCCUUACACGCAGCCAUUACUGCAGAGAUCCAGGAUACAAAAAAAGAAGCACGGAAGGAAAAAGAAAUUUAUGAACAGGAAGCAAAUGCCUCAACAUUUCAUAGAAGGAGGACUCCAUUGGAUAAAGACCUUAUUAAUACGGGGAUCUGUGAGUCUUCUGGCAAACAGUGUUUGCCUCUGGUUCAGCUCAUACAACAGCUUCUUAGGUAAAUC